AGGACGAACGCUGGCGGCGUGCUUAACACAUGCAAGUCGAGCGGUAAGGCCUCCUUCGGGGGGUACACGAGCGGCGAACGGGUGAGUAACACGUGGGUGACCUGCCCUCAGCUCUGGGAUAAGCCUGGGAAAACCGGGUCUAAUACCGGAUGGGACUGCUUGCCGCAUGGUGGGUGGUGGAAAGUUUUUUUCGGCUGGGGAUGGGCCCGCGGCCUAUCAGCUUGUUGGUGGGUGAUGGCCUACCAAGGCGGUGACGGGUA
rnacentral:rRNA from 1 species